ACGGAAGGCAGCAGUGAGGAAUAUUGGUCAAUGGGCGAGAGCCUGAACCAGCCAAGUCGCGUGAAGGAAGAAGGUUCUAUGGAUUGUAAACUUCUUUUGCAUGAGGGUAAAGUGACCUACGUGUAGGUUAUUGCAAGUAUCAUGUGAAUAAGCAUCGGCUAACUCCGUGCCAGCAGCCGCGGUAAUACGGAGGAUGCGAGCGUUAUCCGGAUUUAUUGGGUUUAAAGGGUGCGUAGGCGGGCUGUUAAGUCAGCGGUGAAAGUUUGCGGCUCAACCGUAAAAUUGCCGUUGAAACUGGCGGUCUUGAGUGUAAACGAGGUAGGCGGAAUGUGAUGUGUAGCGGUGAAAUGCUUAGAUAUGUCACAGAACUCCGAUUGCGAAGGCAGCUUACCAGGAUACAACUGACGCUGAGGCACGAAAGCGUGGGUAGCAAACAGGAUUAGAUACCCUGGUA
rnacentral:rRNA from 1 species